rnacentral:rRNA from 1 species
AACAAGGAUUCCCCUAGUAACUGCGAGUGAAGCGGGAAGAGCUCAAAUUUUGAAUCUGGCGGUCCUCGUGGUCGUCCGAGUUGUAAUCUAGAGAAGCGUUUUCCGCGCUGGACCGUGUACAAGUCUCCUGGAACGGAGCGUCAUAGAGGGUGAGAAUCCCGUCUCUGACACGGACUACCAGGGCUUUUGUGAUGCGCUCUCGACGAGUCGAGUUGUUUGGGAAUGCAGCUCAAAUUGGGUGGUAAAUUCCAUCUAAAGCUAAAUACAGGCGAGAGACCGAUAGCGAACAAGUACCGUGAGGGAAAGAUGAAAAGAACUUUGGAAAGAGAGUUAAACAGUACGUGAAAUUGCUGAAAGGGAAACGCUUGAAGUCAGUCGCGUUGGCCGGGGAUCAGCCUUGCAAUCUUGUUGGGUGCAUUUCCUGGUUGACGGGUCAGCAUCGAUUUUGACCGUCGGAGAAGGGUCGAGGGAAUGUGGCAUCCUUCGGGGUGUGUUAUAGCCCUUGAUCGUAUGCGACGGUUGGGAUCGAGGAACUCAGCAUGACCCCUCGUGGGUUUGGGGCUUCGGCUCACAUCCAUGCUUAGGAUGCUGGCAUAAUGGCUUUAAGCGACCCGUCUUGAAACACGGACCAAGGAGUCUAACAUGCCCGCGAGUGUUUGGGUGUUUAAAACCCGAGCGCGUAAUGAAAGUGAAAGUUGAGACCUCUGUCGUGGAGGGCAUCGACGCCCGGACCAGAACUUUUGUGACGGCCCUGCGGUAGAGCGUGUAUGUUGGGACCCGAAAGAUGGUGAACUAUGCCUGAAUAGGGUGAAGCCAGAGGAAACUCUGGUGGAGGCUCGUAGCGAUUCUGACGUGCAAAUCGAUCGUCGAAUUUGGG